AAUGUCCUAUGGUCUAAGCGAUGUAUAUGCAAUCUCACAGGGAAGACUUCCUAAACGUAAGAUCAAGGCCACCAGAGCUAUGGUCCUUUUCACAGCUUUUCCACAACAGUUGGACGCAACUAGGUGUGAAAUUGCAUGUAAAGAGAACAACCACUGGCUGAGGAUUUCAUGAUAGCCAAACUGGAGACAGUCCAAACAUGACACCGCUACACAACCCCUCUAAUUCUAUGUUGCACUCAGACCCGGGUAUAGGGCCCCACUCAUGAUAUGUACAAUAAUAAUAAUAAUAAAAAGAAUAAAAUACCAAAAUAAAUAAAGACAAUCACAUAUAAACAAAAAGGGAAAUAAAAUAAAAUAAAAUAAAAAAGGAAUAAGAUAAAAUAAAAUCAAGCAAAAUAAAAUAAAAUAAGAAAAACCACAUCAAUUUUGCACAUUUAAUUAUCA
rnacentral:lncRNA from 1 species